UAGUCAUAUGCUUGUCUCAAAGAUUAAGCCAUGCAUGUCUAAGUAUAAACAUCUUUAUACAGUGAAACUGCGUACAGCUCAUUAUAUCAGUAAUGAUUUAUUUGAUGGUACCUUACUACAUGGAUAACCGUAGUAAUUCUAGAGCUAAUACAUGCGUACAGUCCCGACUUUCGUGGAAGGGAUGUAUUUAUUAGAUAAAAAAUCAAUGCUGCUUCGGCAGAUUCCAUUGGUGAUUCAUAAUAACUACUCGAAUCGCAUAGUUUUAAACUGGCGAUAGU
rnacentral:rRNA from 1 species